rnacentral:rRNA from 1 species
GAUGAACGCUAGCUACAGGCUUAACACAUGCAAGUCGCAGGGUAACAUGAGGAAAGCUUGCUUUCCUUGAUGACGACUGGCGCACGGGUGAGUAACGCGUAUCCAACCUUCCCAUAACUACGGGAUAACCCGUUGAAAGACGGCCUAAUACCGUAUGAUAUCGUUUGCUGACAUCAAAUAACGAUUAAAGGUUUAGCGGUUAUGGAUGGGGAUGCGUCUGAUUAGCUUGUUGGCGGGGUAACGGCCCACCAAGGCGACGAUCAGUAGGGGUUCUGAGAGGAAGGUCCCCCACAUUGGAACUGAGACACGGUCCAAACUCCUACGGGAGGCAGCAGUGAGGAAUAUUGGGCAAUGGGCGAGAGCCUGAACCAGCCAAGUAGCGUGCAGGACGACGGCCCUAUGGGUUGUAAACUGCUUUUAUGUGGGGAUAAAGUGCGUGACGUGUCAUGCAUUGCAGGUACCACAUGAAUAAGGACCGGCUAAUUCCGU